CCUACGCGAGGCAGCAGUGAGGAAUAUUGGUCAAUGGACGAAAGUCUGAACCAGCCAAGUAGCGUGAAGGAUGACUGCCCUAUGUGUUGUAAACUUCAUUUAUAUGGGAAUAAAAUAUUCCACGUGUGGGAUUUUGUAUGUACCAUAUGAAUAAGGAUCGGCUAACUCCGUGCCAGCAGCCGCGGUAAUACGGAGGAACCGAGUGUUAUCCGGAUUUAGUGGGUUGAGAUGGAGCGUAGGUGGAUUGUUAAGUCCGAUGUGAAAGUUUGCGGCUCAACCGUAAAAUUGCAGUUGAAACUGGCAGUCUGUAGUACAGUAGAGGUGAGCGGAAUUCGUGGUGUAGCGGUGAAAUGCUUAGAUAUCACGAAGAACUCCGGUUGCGAAGGCAGCUCACUGGACUGCAACUGACACUGAGGCUCGAAAGUGUGGGUAUCAAACAGGAUUAGAUACCCGGGUAGUC
rnacentral:rRNA from 1 species